rnacentral:rRNA from 1 species
CCUACGGGGGGCAGCAGUGAGGAAUAUUGGUCAAUGGGCGUAAGCCUGAACCAGCCAAGUCGCGUGAGGGAUGACGGUUCUAUGGAUCGUAAACCUCUUUUAUAAGGGAAUAAAGUGUGGGACGUGUCCUAUUUUGUAUGUACCUUAUGAAUAAGCAUCGGCUAACUCCGUGCCAGCAGCCGCGGUAAUACGGAGGAUCCGAGCGUUAUCCGGAUUUAUUGGGUUUAAAGGGUGCGUAGGCGGCCUUUUAAGUCAGCGGUUAAAGUCGGGGGCUCAACCCUAGAAGUGCCGUUGAAACUGGGGGGCUUGAGUAUGUGUGAGGCAGGCGGAAUGCGUGGUGUAGCGGUGAAAUGCUUAGAUAUCACGCAGAACCCCGAUUGCGAAGGCAGCCUGCCAAGCCAUGACUGACGCUGAGGCACGAAAGCGUGGGGAUCAAACAGGAUUAGAUACCCGGGUAGUC